GUGUGCGUAAUUUAAGUUAAAAUAUCAAGCUGUGACCAUGACAAUAGGAAGGAAUUUCCUCACACAC
rnacentral:tRNA from 4 species